rnacentral:misc_RNA from 1 species
GAUGAAGAACGCAGCGAAGUGCGAUAAGUAAUGUGAAUUGCAGAAUUCCGUGAAUCAUCGAAUCUUUGAACGCAAAUUGCGCUUCCUGGCAUCCCGGGAAGUAUGCCUGUUUGAGGGUCAGUGUUAAUAAAAAUCGGUUCGUUGCGAAUUUUUUGUGACGUUCCGGAGUUUGGGUUAUCUUAACUUUUUUGGUUAAGAGGCUUAAAAUUGACCUUUUUUUUGCGCAUUUUUUAGACGUACAUAAAUUUUUUUUUUAUUCGUCUAUUCUUAAUGCCAAAAUAUAUUAGAUGCGACCAUAUCGUGUGGUUCCGUGUCUAUAAAUUUUUCAUGAUUUGACCUCAAAUCAGGUAGGAGUACCCGCUGAACUUAAGCAUAUCAAUAAGCGGAGGA